rnacentral:tRNA from 1 species
GGUAAGGUGGCUGAGUGUUUUAAGCGGUGGAUUGUAGCCCCACGAACAGAGGUUUGAGUCCUCUUCUUGCCA